rnacentral:lncRNA from 1 species
CAUCAUCUCUGGCAGACUCAUCUGGAUGGAUACAUGGCAUCAACGUGGCGCCCAAUGUCUCUUGCGUUAUUUUCUUUUGUUUUCCUGCAGAUAUCCUCGUCUUAUGAGCAGCUGUCUGCCUUUGUGGAAGGAAGCUCAGAUGAUGCACCAUCCCAAGACAUCAGAGUCCAACAAAAUGGGGUGGACGCUGACGGCUCGGUGUUUGCGGC